GACGAACGCUGGCGGCGUGCUUAACACAUGCAAGUCGAACGGAAAGGCCCUGCUUUUGUGGGGUGCUCGAGUGGCGAACGGGUGAGUAACACGUGAGUAACCUGCCCUUGACUUUGGGAUAACUUCAGGAAACUGGGGCUAAUACCGGAUAGGAGCUCCCGCUGCAUGGUGGGGGUUGGAAAGUUUCGGCGGUUGGGGAUGGACUCGCGGCUUAUCAGCUUGUUGGUGGGGUAGUGGCUUACCAAGGCUUUGACGGGUAGCCGGCCUGAGAGGGUGACCGGCCACAUUGGGACUGAGAUACGGCGCAGACUCCUACGGGAGGCAGCAGUGGGGAAUAUUGCACAAUGGGCGGAAGCCUGAUGCAGCAACGCCGCGUGCGGGAUGACGGCCUUCGGGUUGUAAACCGCUUUCGCCUGUGACGAAGCGUGAGUGACGGUAAUGGGUAAAGAAGCACCGGCUAACUACGUG
rnacentral:rRNA from 1 species